rnacentral:siRNA from 1 species
GAAAACCUAACCAAAGUGCUAGA